GUUGCAUUGGCCGGGAAUCGAACCUGCACCUCACCUGGCCCACAGAAAGGUAUAGCUAAACGGCCCUAAACCGUUUCCCAUUCAUUCUCUACGGUAGUGCUAAAUCACUACGGAUGUAAUACAUUUUUGCCCACUACGAACUUGUGGCGCUGUUCCUAGUUUUUUAAAGACGCGCAGUCUGAAAAACCUUUAUCUCAGGCAAACUUAUGUGGUGACGGGACAACUCACCAGGGACUCGCUACAUUUAUUAUUUUAAUGUUCGUUAAUCAAAGGAGCUGUCUAAAGAAGCCAGACGGAUUAAGGACGCCGCCACUUGCAGGACAAGUCUGCGCCUAUGAGGGAGGACCUUGUGCGGCAGAAUGCUCUGGCUAUGGUCCGGAGCUGGCGGAGGUGCUAUGAGACUACAUCCUGCAGUUUGGAAAGUAUAAAGGUGGCUUUUGGUGAAUGAUGUAGGCUACACUACUCUUAUCAAGAAUCUUUGUAAGGAGGAGGCUUUAGGUAUCUGUAUGGCCGAGGGGCAUAGCAAGUACAG
rnacentral:lncRNA from 1 species